rnacentral:misc_RNA from 1 species
CAACCCUCAAGCACCGCUUGGUGUUGGGCGCUUGUCCCUGCCGGGGGCAGGGACUCGCCCCGAAUCCAUUGGCAGCCACCGCACCGGGCCAACGAGCGCAGCAGAAUUCGCGCCUCGGGCAAGGAGCGUGGGCGACCCACUGAGCACCCCAUCCA